GCAUUUGUGGAAGUUGCAUGAAGUGCAACAACAAGUACGAGGCCAAGAAGUAUGUUUCCAAGGUAACGCCUGAGCAGAAGAUCAAGCUCACCUGGCCAUCAGUGACCUCGAGGGGGCGGGCAGAUGCUGCAAUUGAACGCAAGAAUGAAUCAGAGAUAGGGGCGGUGCUCUCCAGAUGCCCGCCUCCGACCACUCGUUGAUUGACAGGUUGAACAGAGCCAGAAACUCCAUCCACCAAAAGUGUAAUUACUGAACUCCUGCUUUGAAACUCAGGUCCACAAACCCCGCCCCCUUCAUCAUCAUUAUUAGUCCUGUCUCUAAACCCCGCCCCCUUCGUCGUCAUUAUUAGUCCUGUCUCUAAACCCCGCCCCCUUCAUCGUCAUUAUUAGUCCUGUCUCUAAACCCCGCCACAGCAGCACGGUGCUCUUUCAACACACACAGUUGUUCCUGCGUCCCAGCUGUUCAUCAUACAAACAGGAAAUGAUAAGAUUAAAAAAACGUGUAAGGUUUGGUGUUUGUUUCAACCAUUUCCUGCUGUUGCUGCUUCACAAUAAAAGCUUUCCAUCACUGGGUCUUUGUUUCUGAAGUUAGAUUUAGAAAGUGUUUGUUGUUUGUUGUUUGUGUUCUUUCCCGGUCCUCGGGUCCUGCUGUAGUCAUGGAGAGGCUGAGCAGUAUUCUGAUGUAUUCAGACAGACUUUGUCCCUGUUCUCGGGUCCACAGUGUUUUAUUGUUUAUACAAUAUACUGUAAGCGAGCUCCAGAUUUAAUAAAGAUAAAUACUUCAAAUUA